UUAUCCGCGAGUAUUGGUCUGGAGGAAGCCGCUAGCAAAUUUGCGAGCUGAUGAACAAGAACAUCAUAUGAGGCGUAGGCAGAUUUAUAGAGCGGCAGAUUUAUAGAGCCGGCAGA
rfam:Shewanella woodyi ATCC 51908, complete genome.